CUGCUGCCUUCCGUAGGAGUUUGGUCCGUGUCUCAGUACCAAUGUGGGGGGGUUAACCUCUCAGUCCCCCUAUGUAUCGUCGCCUUGGUGAGCCGCUACCUCACCAACCAGCUAAUACAACGCAUGCCCAUCAUCAACCACCGGAGUUUUCAACCCCAUGCGAUGCCGCAUGAGAUAUUAUGGGGUAUUAGUACCAAUUUCUCAGUGUUAUCCCCCUGUUGAUGGUAGGUUGCAUACGCGUUACGCA
rnacentral:rRNA from 1 species